CAGUCGCCGCGGUAAUACGGAGGGUGCAAGCGUUAAUCGGAUUUACUGGGCGUAAAGCGUGCGUAGGCGGCUUUUUAAGUCGGAUGUGAAAUCCCUGAGCUUAACUUAGGAAUUGCAUUCGAUACUGGGAAGCUAGAGUAUGGGAGAGGAUGGUAGAAUUCCAGGUGUAGCGGUGAAAUGCGUAGAGAUCUGGAGGAAUACCGAUGGCGAAGGCAGCCAUCUGGCCUAAUACUGACGCUGAGGUACGAAAGCAUGGGGAGCAAACAGGAUUAGAUACCCCCGUAGUCCCUGUCUCUUAUAC
rnacentral:rRNA from 1 species